rnacentral:tRNA from 1 species
GUCUAGGUAGUAUAAAAAAACACGCCGCCUUUUCGUGGCGGAAAAGGGCCAGAGCCCCCUAGAUA